rnacentral:rRNA from 9 species
CCCUAUCUGCCGUGGGUGUCGGAAGCUUGAGAGGAUCUGUUCCUAGUACGAGAGGACCGGAAUGGACAGAUCUCUGGUGGACCGGUUGUUACGCCAGUAGCAUAGCCGGGUAGCUAAAUCUGGAAAAGAUAAACGCUGAAAGCAUCUAAGCGUGAAACUUGCCUUAAGAUAAGACUUCCCUUGCACUUUAAGUGCACUCAAGAGUCGUUCUAGACCAGGACGUUGAUAGGUCAGGUGUGGAAG